AAAGGAUUGUAAAAAUUCAACACAGCAAUACCCAAGGAAUUGAUGAGAACCUAUGAUGCACUUUAUCAGUGAGUGUGCCACUCCGUGUGUCCCACUGAACCGGCAUGGGGGUUAACAGUCAGCGCUUCAGCAGGGUCACAGGGGACCAGAGCACAUCCCAGAAGCUAUGAGCGCAAGGCAGGGAACAACCCAGGGGGGGGGAGGGGGUGACAACACUUGGCAUGGCACACUCACACCUACU